AUUCAGCAACGCGGAUGCUCUGUAUUUUUUGUUUUGUUUGAGUGGUGGUGUGUUUGUUGUGCGAGUGUUGUGUGCGAGUGAAUGUUUGUGGUUUUGUGUGGGAAUGAGUGUAUGUUUGUUUUAUGUUUGUAAGUCUAGCUACCAAAUAAACUACACGGUGAUCUUAUUUGAUCUGGUCGGGGUUGGCCUUACCCCGAUUCAGAAAUGAUAGUACCCGACAUGCGAGCCGCUGAGGCGAUGAGCAUGAAGCUUCGACAAAAUUCAGGGCCUCCACAAGAAAUUGUGGUCGGAAGUGAUGACUCGAUCAGAUAUACUAGUGCCGGGGAGAGUUUUGUCUCCACACCGGUCAAUGAGUAUAAAUGCGAUUCUGAUCUGC